UACGAAGGGGGCUAGCGUUGUUCGGAAUCACUGGGCGUAAAGGGCGCGUAGGCGGGUUCUUAAGUAAGGUGUUUAAUCCCGGGGCCCAACCCCGGACCGGCACUUUAAACUGGGAAUCUUGAAUAGUGGAGAGGUCGGUGGAAUUGGAGGUGUAGCGGUGGAAUGCGUAGAGAUCCGGAGGAACACCAGCGGCGAAGGCGGCAUCCUGGACUGGUCCUGACACUCAGGAGCGAAAGCGUGGGGAGCGAUCCGG
rnacentral:rRNA from 1 species